rnacentral:rRNA from 1 species
CAAUCAGUCAACGGUACACAGAGAGCUUGCUCUCGGGUGACGAGUGGCGGACGGGUGAGUAAUGUCUGGGAAACUGCCUGAUGGAGGGGGAUAACUACUGGAAACGGUAGCUAAUACCGCAUAACGUCGCAAGACCAAAGAGGGGGACCUUCGGGCCUCUUGCCAUCAGAUGUGCCCAGAUGGGAUUAGCUAGUAGGUGGGGUAACGGCUCACCUAGGCGACGAUCCCUAGCUGGUCUGAGAGGAUGACCAGCCACACUGGAACUGAGACACGGUCCAGACUCCUACGGGAGGCAGCAGUGGGGAAUAUUGCACAAUGGGCGCAAGCCUGAUGCAGCCAUGCCGCGUGUAUGAAGAAGGCCUUCGGGUUGUAAAGUACUUUCAGCGGGGAGGAAGGUGUUGCGGUUAAUAACCGCAGCAAUUGACGUUACCCGCAGAAGAAGCACCGGCUAACUCCGUGCCAGCAGCCGCGGUAAUACGGAGGGUGCAAGCGUUAAUCGGAAUUACUGGGCGUAAAGCGCACGCAGGCGGUCUGUCAAGUCGGAUGUGAAAUCCCCGGGCUCAACCUGGGAACUGCAUUCGAAACUGGCAGGCUAGAGUCUUGUAGAGGGGGGUAGAAUUCCAGGUGUAGCGGUGAAAUGCGUAGAGAUCUGGAGGAAUACCGGUGGCGAAGGCGGCCCCCUGGACAAAGACUGACGCUCAGGUGCGAAAGCGUGGGGAGCAAACAGGAUUAGAUACCCUGGUAGUCCACGCCGUAAACGAUGUCGACUUGGAGGUUGUGCCCUUGAGGCGUGGCUUCCGGAGCUAACGCGUUAAGUCGACCGCCUGGGGAGUACGGCCGCAAGGUUAAAACUCAAAUGAAUUGACGGGGGCCCGCACAAGCGGUGGAGCAUGUGGUUUAAUUCGAUGCAACGCGAAGAACCUUACCUACUCUUGACAUCCAGAGAACUUAUCAGAGAUGCUUUGGUGCCUUCGGGAACUCUGAGACAGGUGCUGCAUGGCUGUCGUCAGCUCGUGUUGUGAAAUGUUGGGUUAAGUCCCGCAACGAGCGCAACCCUUAUCCUUUGUUGCCAGCGGUCCGGCCGGGAACUCAAAGGAGACUGCCAGUGAUAAACUGGAGGAAGGUGGGGAUGACGUCAAGUCAUCAUGGCCCUUACGAGUAGGGCUACACACGUGCUACAAUGGCGCAUACAAAGAGAAGCGAACUCGCGAGAGCAAGCGGACCUCAUAAAGUGCGUCGUAGUCCGGAUUGGAGUCUGCAACUCGACUCCAUGAAGUCGGAAUCGCUAGUAAUCGUAGAUCAGAAUGCUACGGUGAAUACGUUCCCGGGCCUUGUACACACCGCCCGUCACACCAUGGGAGUGGGUUGCAAAAGAAGUAGGUAGCUUAACCUUCGGAGGCGCUACCACUU